UGCAGUCGAGCGGAGAUAGGUAGCUUGCUACUGAUUCUUAGCGGCGGACGGGUGAGUAAUGCUUAGGAAUCUGCCUAUUAGUGGGGGACAACGUUCCGAAAGGGACGCUAAUACCGCAUACGCCCUACGGGGGAAAGCAGGGGAUCUUCGGACCUUGCGCUAAUAGAUGAGCCUAAGUAGGAUUAGCUAGUUGGUGGGGUAAAGGCCUACCAAGACGACGAUCUGUAGCGGGUCUGAGAGGAUGAUCCGCCACACUGGGACUGAGACACGGCCCAGACUCCUACGGGAGGCAGCAGUGGGGAAUAUUGGACAAUGGAGGCAACUCUGAUCCAGCCAUGCCGCGUGUGUGAAGAAGGCCUUUUGGUUGUAAAGCACUUUAAGCGAGGAGGAGGCUUACCUGGUUAAUACCUGGGAUAAGUGGACGUUACUCGCAGAAUAAGCACCGGCUAACUCUGUGCCAGCAGCCGCGGUAAUACAGAGGGUGCAAGCGUUAAUCGGAUUUACUGGGCGUAAAGCGCGCGUAGGCGGCUUUUUAAGUCGGAUGUGAAAUCCCCGAGCUUAACUUGGGAAUUGCAUUCGAUACUGGGAAGCUAGAGUAUGGGAGAGGAUGGUAGAAUUCCAGGUGUAGCGGUGAAAUGCGUAGAGAUCUGGAGGAAUACCGAUGGCGAAGGCAGCCAUCUGGCCUAAUACUGACGCUGAGGUGCGAAAGCAUGGGGAGCAAACAGGAUUAGAUACCCUGGUAGUCCAUGCCGUAAACGAUGUCUACUAGCCGUUGGGGCC
rnacentral:rRNA from 1 species